GGAGAGAUGGCUGAGUGGUCUAAAGCAUCUGAUUGCUAAUCCAUUGUGCAAGUACUAAGGGUUCGAAUCCCUCUCUUUUCG
rnacentral:tRNA from 1 species